GCUGGGAUGGCCGAGUCGUUAAGGCGAGUGAUUUGAAUGGUGCGAGUGCUUGCACAUUAUCACUUGGUGUUUCACCGCGUAGGUUCAAAUCCUGCUCCCAGCG